rnacentral:lncRNA from 13 species
GCAACUUUGAUGGUGCAACUGGCAUUCAUCCAGCAUCAAACCAGCACAGUAAGAAAGGGCAUUGAUAACACUGGUCCCUGAUGGAUAGCAGGAGAGUUUGUAAACUGGCUGCUCUGGAAUAUUUUCUGGAGGAUAUUUCUGCACUCUGUCACCACAGUAGGUGUGAUGAUCACAUCUACUUCCUAUUGUCACAAAUCUGGUGAAGGCUUGUGCCACGACUUCUCAUUUGUUUAAUUACACAGUAAUUAGAAGGCUCAUCCAAGAAAAAGGAAUGCCAG